rnacentral:tRNA from 1 species
GCUUCUAUCGACCGUUUUAGAAACAUCAGUGGCCAACGAUCGUCAGGAUCGUUGAGCUGCAUUGGCGGGAUUUCGCCGUCUUCGUUUCUCUUUCUUCGCGGACGAACACGCGCUGGGCCUGCGAGAGCAGGGUCCCUGGUCCUUGACGGGAUAUGCGUUAGGGGCUUGUAGCUCAGUUGGUUAGAGCGCGCGCUUGAUAAGCGUGAGGUCGGAAGUUCAAGUCUUCCCAGGCCCACCACACUCAUCGGGUAAGCAUUCGUCUUCUGGUUACGGGGCCAUAGCUCAGCUGGGAGAGCGCGUGCUUUGCAAGCAUGAGGUCGUCGGUUCGAUCCCGUCUGGCUCCACCAGAUGGUUUGAUCACCGACGCUGUGUUUGCAGCUAUUCAACCGUCGUCCGCGAAACAUCACUUCGCACCUACUAGUCUGGAUAGACAGUAGGUUGCGUGAUUUCUGACAUCGUAAAGAGGAGAUCGAUCCGAGUUGGAUCGGGCAGCAAGCAAUUGCUGCGCGAACCUUCAUUAUCUCCGGAUCAUUUCGGCGCUCGCGCGCCUUUCAAUGCGGCUCACAAGGCUGCGUCUGAGGGGAAUGCGGGUUGUAAAUGAUCCUUUUAGCGAAGCUUGACCGCCUCGCUAUCGGAACGAUCUUACGAAGCAAGCUGGUCUUUCUAAUCAUUGUCCGGCUGUACGUAGCGUUCAUCGAGGGCGCGUGCCGCAAGGCAAUCGUACAGACAACAUUCUGCCGAGUGUGUGGACAUUGAUAAUGAGAGCAAUCAAGUGCCUUAAGGGUGUUCGUGGAUGCCUUGGCGCUGAGAGGCGAUGAA